GACGUAGGGGGCGAGCGUUGUCCGGAAUCAUUGGGCGUAAAGAGCGUGUAGGCGGCCCGGUAAGUCCGCUGUGAAAGUCCAGGGCUCAACCCUGGGAUGCCGGUGGAUACUGUCGGGCUCGAGUCCGGAAGAGGAGUGUGGAAUUCCUGGUGUAGCGGUGAAAUGCGCAGAUAUCAGGAGGAACACCAAUGGCGAAGGCAGCACUCUGGGACGUGACUGACGCUGAGACACGAAAGCGUGGGGAGCAAACAGG
rnacentral:rRNA from 1 species